rnacentral:lncRNA from 1 species
GGGCUUCGCAACGGCUGUGGGGCCCAGAGCAGCGUCGACGGCAGCCUGCGUUUCCGCACGGGCCAGCAGCCGUGGCCAGCUGCUCGUCCCUAGGGCUUUUCAGCUCCGGGGCAGCAUCUCUGCCGGGCGGACAGACCUGGAGGUGGAGAGCAAGAGAGAGAAGAGACGGAAUACAGAGGAGACAGCGGCUCAGCUGAGCGGACACCGCCUCCCGUCAGGAAGAAGGCUGCGAAUUCCCCGCCGCCGCCUCUGCCACCAACACCAGCGCCGCCACCGCUGCCGCCGACCUCACCGCCGCCACUGCCGCCGCCGCCUCCACCACCAGCGAGCCUGGGCCGGGCAGGGCGCCGAGCGGGCCGUCUGAGGCGCAGGCCGGAGCGGGCCCGGCACCGCAGCGCUGGUGGAGGCCGGGUCUCCGAGGCGACGGCCGAGGCAGGUACAACGGUACCGGAGGAGGCGGCGCCGCCGCUCGUCCCUUGUCCUCAGGAGGGGGCCCAUGGCGAGCGACAAGCCGGUCCGGCCCGGGGCUCGAGCCUCAGCCCGUGGAGCCCAUCGCCGUCCGGGCCGGCAGCGGAGGCGGUGGCGAAGGCGGCGGCGGCAGCGGGAUGGUGAGGCUGAUGGGGCGUCCGGCUCCGACUCCGGCUCCGGUUCCGCUCCCCGCGGGGACGAGUUACCUUUCAGUGCCGAUCAGCACCAUCCAGAUGAAAUUCGCAGUUUGGACUCCUGCAGGUCGGACAGGUCAGCAGCAGGGACAUCGUGGAGAUGGUGCUCAACCUGGCAAUUUCAUUGCCUCCUUUUGCAAAUUGUCCUUAUCACAUUGGCUUCACCCUGAACACUUGGCUUCGUGUGGAUCCAUUAAUAACAUUAAUGUUGAAAAGGAUAAAGCCUCAUUUUUAUUGUUUUGUAUGCAAAGAAGUUGGCUAUUUUGCUGGCUCAGUAGAUACAUCAGGAAACUCCAAAGGAAAAGAUUUUCAGCACUGUGUGAAAUAUGAUCUGCAACCAUGCAAGGUAACUCAAGCCGAAAUUGGAGGACAAGUCACAGUAAGACCAUGUUGGAAGACAAAAUGCUUGCCAGGAUGGGAGCUGGUUGGUGGAGCAUUUGAUUUGGAGACAAACUUUAUUAUCCAGGAUGCUGAGAGUAUAACAUGCAUAACAGAGUUUUUUGGGGCACUGUGGUGUAACAUGCCAAGCAGAAAUAUGGAGCAAGUUUGCAGCCAUUGUAUGAAUAAGUGCUUGGAAUUUACAGACUAG